rnacentral:rRNA from 1 species
GACGUAGGUGGCGAACGUUAUCCGGAAUUACUGGGCGUAAAGAGUGUGUAGGCGGUGCUCUAAGUUCGGUGUGAAAUCUCCCGGCUUAACUGGGAGGGUGCGCCGGAAACUGGAGUGCUCGAGCGUGGGAGAGGAAAGCGGAAUUCCUGGUGUAGCGGUGAAAUGCGUAGAUAUCAGGAGGAACACCUGUGGUGUAGACGGCUUUCUGGUCCGAAACUGACACUGAGAUGCGAAAGCCAGGGGAGCAAACGGG